rnacentral:rRNA from 1 species
UACAGAGGUCUCAAGCGUUGUUCGGGUUCAUUGGGCGUAAAGGGUGCGUAGGUGGCGCGUAAGUCGGGUGUGAAAUCUCGGGCUUAACUCCGAAACUGCAUUCGAUACUGCGUGCUUGAGGACUGGAGAGGAGACUGGAAUUUACGGUGUAGCAGUGAAAUGCGUAGAGUAUCGUAAGGAAGACCAGUGGCGAAGGCGGGUCUCUGGGACA